rnacentral:rRNA from 1 species
GAGGAAUAUUGGUCAAUGGACGCAAGUCUGAAGCAGCCACGUCGCGUGAAGGAGGACGGCCCUACGGGUUGUAAACUUCUUUUAUACGGGAAUAAAGUGCCCCACGUGUGGGGUUUUGCAUGUACCGUAUGAAUAAGGAUCGGCUAACUCCGUGCCAGCAGCCGCGGUAAUACGGAGGAUCCGAGCGUUAUCCGGAUUUAUUGGGUUUAAAGGGUGCUCAGGCGGGGGGUUAAGUCGGCGGUGAAAUUUUGCAGCUCAACUGUAAAAGUGCCUUCGAAACGGGUUCACUUGAGGGCGGAGGAGGUAGGCGGAAUUGGGGGUGUAGCGGUGAAAUGCAUAGAUAACACGAGGAACUCCGAUUGCGCAGGCAGCUUACCAAGCCGUAACUGACGCUCAAGCACGAAGACGUGGGGAUCAAACA